GUGGACAAAAUGUUUAAAAUUUGCAGUUUAAAACAUGCACAUCCACAAAAGGCCAAUGACACAUAACACUGCAGAGAAAUGAAUAUACUCAACUUUAAAUAACUAUUUAUAAAACACAGUGCGUUGAACAUCAAGAUAAACAAACCCGAGAAAACUACUAUGAUCACAGGACCAACACUCUCACUCAUGCAGCUUCACAAUUUCUACAGCAGUUUCAGCAGGAAUGGUUUUUCAUGGAGCUGAAAAUACUACUUUAUCUUUAACGCAAAGUGCAGUUUUCCAUAGCUGCCUUCCAAGGCUGCCUUUUUAUUUUUAACCUAACAAAGCUGAAAAUAUGAAAAACAAAGCUUGAAGUAGUUAAAAAACAAACAGCAUUUACUGCAUUUACGGCUUCUAUUCUAGAACCAUGAAACAUAAAAAUAUCUAUUUUUAACAUUCUGCUCACAUCUUUGUAAGAGCAGACUACCUACGGAAAAUUGCUGUUAAUUCAAAGUAAGCAAAUAUGAAAUCUAGAUUUUUUUCCUACUUAAGGGAGAUUUAUUUGCCAAGAAGUUUUGUGAGCUUUAUUAAGAAAAGUUCUUAGAGGCAAGCUAAACAAAAGAUUCAAUUAAAUUUGUUCAAAUUUGUUUGUAAAAUAAUCUACUUACUAAAAAAAAAAAAAAAAAAGUUGUGUGGAGGACCAGUUAAUUUGUCCACUGAAUAUUAAAAUCCAGGUAGGCCAUGACAGAAUUUUAUAAGGCAGAAAUAAACAUCAAGAUUUACAGCAAUAGUCAUGCAUUGGCCUGGAUCACUUUAAAUAUUAAUUCAUGCAAACCAUAAACCUAUCAAAAACACAGCUGCUUUCAUACAGAAAAUAAAUCAAGAUGAAAAAUAGAAAACAUUUAUUUCAUUUCCUUCAAAAUUUAACUUACAAUCCACUUUAAUAGCUGUUGAAGGUUAAUUAAAAUGGAGCAAAGUAUAACUAAGUUUCACAAGUGACUUCAGUUAUUUUAAUGUGAGAAAAAUCAGACAAUGGUACUUUAAGAGGCAUUAUAGAAACAUUCAUCAUUAAAAGCAUUUAUUAGGCACUGAACUGCAUGGUGUUACCAUAAGUAAUCUACAAAAAGAAUUCCACAGACCUAGUCAUUGUGAUGUAAACGGCUGGGGAUUUUCUUGAUAAAUUUGAUUAAAGAUUUAGUCAAUGAAAUAAGUUUUAAAACCAGAAACCAUCAAAGGGCAACUGCAUGAAAACAAACCCGUAAUGAUUAUGUGGCUUUGUAAUACUUGUGAUACAAAUACUUUAAGAUUAUGAAUAUAUAGUCUAUUACUUUCUGACUAGCAUUCAUUUUUCUGAAAGAACAUUUUAUGACAGGAUACAUGCCAUACAGUGCACAUAAUGCAGAAGAAUUUAGCAUGUGACUCUCAUAGUUGAUAUUCACAAUGCUAAAUUUAAAAAUUAAAAAUACAAAAAUUUAUGAUGAGGAUAAAUGAUGACUGAUUUCUAUAAUUUAUCCCUCCUCCCCACCCUAGAAAAUUAAGAGGAAUCUGUGAUUCCACUGAAUGACCAUACAGCUCAUAUAAGUGGCUAAUUUUAUUUAGCAGAAUACACAUGCACCUGAUUUGAGAGAAGCUUUUCCAGUGGGUUCACAACACUUCUGGCACUUCCUGCACGGUGCAAUAGGAAAGCACAAAGUGGAGGGGAGGGAGGAGCACACUUAGCAUUUUAAAUUUACUACAUUCCUGAGAAAUACUGUUUUCCUGCUAAUAAACUCUACAAUACAGCAUCUUUCUGGGUGUCAGACACUGAUAUACUCUCAUGAAUAUAUAAAACAUUUAGAAAAUCCAUGUUCAGUACCACCGUGCAGUAUUCAACAUUAAAGAAGCAGCUCCCAGUGUUUCAGUGCUAAAGGAAGGUUUUGUAUCAUAAGUAGUAUUUUCUGAAUUGUAAACAUUAUACAGAAACUAUGUAAGCAUUUGCCACAGUCCUUACAAGGAACGUUUUAAUUGAACAGUAUGUGUUCUUUAUUUUAGAAAAUAAAUGUUAAAAGUCGCUUUGAUUGGUUAUUUUAAUUCUGGUAAAACCGUGUGUCUCUCCUGCACCCCACCCCAAUUCAGGAGAUUAAAACUCAAGAGCAUUUUCUCUAAUUUAAGUAAAACUGUAAAGUCACCGCAAUUGCAGUGCUGUAUUUCAAAUUUAGCAAAGUGGUCAUUCCCUGCCCCUUAUGCCCUACCUUUACCCAAUAAGCAAAGAGACUGGCUUAAUGUCCAGGAUUGGAAAAUUGGAUCAUUGGACAAAUAGGCAUAAAUCAGUCACGUUUCGGAGCAUGAUGUUCACUGAUUAACCGUGAGUAUUCUUUUCAUGUUGAAGAGCUCUAUUGAAACAGUCCAUGUUUCAAGAUGAAAAUAAAACUUCUAAUUUUCAGGUUUAAGUCAGAAAACUCAAUUCUCUUUUGUUUUUAACCUUCUGAUAUUAAAAAUUUGGAGAAAGAUGUGACUGAUGAAGUGCAAGCAAAUGGAAACAGAUCUUCUCUGGAAGAAUGCACUUCAUUCUUGCUGAGUUUUGUAGUUUGAGCACAACUAUCACCACAAGGAGACCCUGGAAAAUACACUCUGAAGAUCCAUCCCACAGACAAAGUCUGCAACUCCAGAAUUUCAAAGAUUUUAGACUCUGCAUCUGUGGUCUUGUUGGAUGUUUUGAUUCAUGAUUUUUCUAAUCUGAACCUCAAUUGGAAGUCUAAGAAGUAAAAUGUAUAAAAAUCCCUGUUCUCCUUAGAUUAGAAUUAUUUAUAUGUAUUAUACACUGUUAUUUGCAGAAAAUGUGGAUUUAUACUUAUAACCAGCUGUAUAUAC
rnacentral:lncRNA from 1 species